rnacentral:lncRNA from 1 species
GUGAGCCAUGGAUAGGGACAACCUGAGUCCUAGGGACGCCACUUAGGAGCCUGGCCUGGCACAACUGCCACCCAUAUGGACCAGGUCCUGUUUGGAUGAGGCUGUUGUCAACAAGGCUAUAGGACACUCAUCAUGAGAACAAUUUUUCGUGUGUUUCGGGCGGUCUCCCAGACCAAAUCUCAGUCAAAGCCUGGGGCACCUUUAAGGCUCUUGCUCCAUGUUGUUCAACAACCUCAGGAAAGGCUGCAUUAUUCAUGCCAUGGAAGGAUGAAGGCUCCCGCUUUGCCAACAGACAGAGACAAGGCUGUGGAGUGAUCGGAGAGUUGCUCACAUUAUCUUCCACCCCAUACCUGCUGGUGGUGAUUAAAGGAAGAUAAAAGUGGGACUGCCCAGUGCUUACACGCUGCAGAUACAGCUCCCAUCUGACAUUUGCGGUGUGGACAUCAUCCCAGCCCAGGGCAGGAGCCGGCCAGCUGGAGCAUGUGUUGGAUUCUCUGCCUGAGCCUCACCCUCUGCAUAGAGGUGCAGGCCACUCUGGGUGAUGGUCUGGUUCCCAGGAGGUGCCUUUCUCGUGGGCUCCGCUUCCAUGUGCGAUGGCUCGGAAUUUUUCGCCUGAGAAAAAGUGGUGCUCCGGGAGUUCCCGUCGUGGCACAGUGGUUAACGAAUCCGACUAGGAACCAUGAGGUUGCGGGUUCGGUCCCUGCCCUUGCUCAGUGGGUUAACGAUCCGGCGUUGCCGUGAGCUGUGGUGUAGGUUGCAGACGCGGCUCGGAUCC